UACAGAGGGUGCGAGCGUUAAUCGGAAUUACUGGGCGUAAAGCGUGCGUAGACGGCUAUGUAAGUCGGGUGUGAAAGCCCCGGGCUCAACCUGGGAAUUGCAUUCGAGACUGAAUAGCUAGGGUACGGUAGAGGGAAGUGGAAUUUCCGGUGUAGCGGUGAAAUGCGUAGAUAUCGGAAGGAACAUCAGUGGCGAAAGCGACUUCCUGGACCAGUACCGACGUUCAGGCACGAAAGCGUGGGGAGCAAACAGG
rnacentral:rRNA from 1 species